rnacentral:rRNA from 1 species
AUUGAACGCUGGCGGCAUGCCUUACACAUGCAAGUCGAACGGCAGCACGGGUGCUUGCACCUGGUGGCGAGUGGCGAACGGGUGAGUAAUACAUCGGAACGUACCUUAUCGUGGGGGAUAACGCAGCGAAAGUUGCGCUAAUACCGCAUACGCCCUGAGGGGGAAAGCGGGGGACCGUAAGGCCUCGCGCGAUUAGAGCGGCCGAUGUCUGAUUAGCUUGUUGGUGAGGUAAAAGCUCACCAAGGCGAUGAUCAGUAGCUGGUCUGAGAGGACGAUCAGCCACACUGGGACUGAGACACGGCCCAGACUCCUACGGGAGGCAGCAGUGGGGAAUUUUGGACAAUGGGGGCAACCCUGAUCCAGCAAUGCCGCGUGAGUGAAGAAGGCCUUCGGGUUGUAAAGCUCUUUUGUCAGGGAAGAAACAGCAGCUCUAACACAGACUGCGAAUGACGGUAC